rnacentral:rRNA from 1 species
UACGUAGGGGGCUAGCGUUGUCCGGAAUCAUUGGGCGUAAAGAGCGUGUAGGCGGCUCGGUAAGUCCGCUGUGAAAGUCCAGGGCUCAACCCUGGAAUGCCAGUGGAAACUGUCGAGCUAGAGUCCGGAAGAGGCGAGUGGAAUUCCUGGUGUAGCGGUGAAAUGCGCAGAUAUCAGGAAGAACACCCGUGGCGAAGGCGGCUCUCUGGAACGCAACUGACGCUGAGACGCGAAAGCGUGGGGAGCAAACAGG